rnacentral:rRNA from 1 species
GAGUUUGAUCCUGGCUCAGGACGAACGCUGGCGGCGUGCUUAAUACAUGCAAGUCAACGAGAAACAGGGUGCUUGCAUCCUGUGGACAGUGGCGCACGGGUGCGUAACACGUAGGUAAUCUGCCCUUAGGACUGACAUAACUCCGGGAAACCGAAGCUAAUAUCAGAUAAUGCAGCGGCUCGGCAUCGAGACAGUUGUUAAAUCUUCGGAGCCUAAGGAUGAACCUGCGUCCCAUUAGGUAGUUGGUGAGGUAAAUGCUCACCAAGCCUGCGAUGGGUAGCUGGUCUGAGAGGAUGAUCAGCCACACUGGAACUGAGACACGGUCCAGACUCCUACGGGAGGCAGCAGUAAGGAAUAUUGCUCAAUGGGAGAAAUCCUGAAGCAGCAACGCCGCGUGGAGGAUGAAGGCAUAUUUGUUGUAAACUCCUGUAAGAAGGGAAAAUGGGUCUGUUUACAGACUUUGAUUGUACCUUCAGAGUAAG